ensembl:misc_RNA Y_RNA Y RNA
GGCUGGCCCAGGAUGUGCCAUGGUGUUUACAACUAAUUGAUCACAGCCGGUUACAGAUUUAUGUGUUCCUUCCCCACUCCCACUGCUUCACUUGACUGGACUUAA